ACGCAUGUACGUAUAUGUUCAGGAUGCGCACAAACACUCUACUAGCUUAUAUUUCUUCUUCUUUGUUCUUGCUGUUGACUAUGAUGACGAAAUCGGCGCCCUCGUCAAGAUAUUGAUAAUUUGUUGAAAUCAAUUCUUUCUGUCAGAGCCGAUGCACGCUGAGCAGGACCGCUGAGCCCACAACACUAGAUCGGCAACACUCUUCCAGUAUCGGCGUCUCCGUAACGUCGCCGAUAAUGCUGUCACCAUUGUCGUCACAUCCGGAGCAGCGCGCCGAUUUGGUCGCCGAAUAUCUAGACGAUUUGUUGCGGGCGAAGUGAUCGGCACAGUCGUGAAGAGGCAUCGCGUACCUCAGGCCGAUCAGUAUGGCAUCAUUUUGUUCCAUGA